CAAACACUGAGGUCUGCACUCCGUCUUCGGAUGCCCUUGUGGAGGCCCCCUGUCUAUUCUUAUCUGCAGCAGUGGCAACUGGCCGGACAGGCUGCAGAAGUGCCCACAGCCCACCAGGCAGCUGGACAAGGGCACCGACAUGCUAAGGUGGGUUGGCUUCCUGAGAGAGAAACAGGUAGAACAAUUGAUUUGUAAUGGGGCCAGCUGCAAUCCAACCCUAGUGGGGGCACAGGGCAAUUUGACCCUGACCAAGUCCAGAUUAUUUGAGUUGCUGAUCUGCACAAUGCAGGCUGCUUGUCUCAGCUUCCCCUGUUCCUCUCUCCUUUCUCUGUUCUCCCAGGGAGUCCCCUCCGCUUUGGGAUGAAGAACAGAAAGGGCUUGAAGCAGCAGCACAUCACUUGGGUUUCUGUCUUUGCUGUGGUGAGUCUUACAUGGAGAAAAGGAAAGGAAAGGAAAAAAAGAAAAGAAAAGAAAGGAAGCCACAACCUCCACCCCAUGCCUGACUCUUCCCACAUUAAAUCCUGGAACCAGGCAGAACUCACAGGUCCCUACCUUAUGGUUUCUGCAUGGAACAAAACAGAGAUAGUCCAGAAGCACUGUAACAUCCAUUCCUC
rnacentral:lncRNA from 1 species